rnacentral:rRNA from 1 species
CUCUCUUGCAUUGGUGCCGUGCACGUCUGACGCUACGCAUAAUAUUCUCCUCAAGUGGAGGUAGUGGGUUUAUAUAACUCAAGAACUGGUUGACGCGCGUGGAGUAGCUCGGACGGAUUGGGGCGGGCGGGCGAUUUGGGAUGGGAUGAGUGGCCGCCGUCUCCAAAAGCACUCGAGCAGGCUGUUACCGCAGGGAAACUCUUGAGCACGCUCCAGCCCCACAAGCGCUCCGAGUGGUUGCGGAUGACGGAGCAGGGCCGGCCACCCCGCCUCUUAAAGUGGUCACACAAACUCCGGCUCGAGCGGCUGUGGCAGGGCCACCAGUUCCGUAGGUAGCCGCCGUACUCCUAGGAGUCCUGUAACACGCACCCGUUGUUCUUCCCGGAAGAAGAUGGUGUGUGGUGAUUGCUGGUUCUCGAGGUCGUGGAGUUCUUAUCGGACGGACUACUCCACCAGCAGGUCGCACAGCUGCUCGCCGAGAGGCGGGAGCCGUUGACGUAACGGACGUUGCUGGUGCACCGAGAGUGUUUUGGUCUAGAGUGGUUCCUUUGGCUCCUCUAGUAGAGCCUGCAAGAACCCCACCUCCACAAGUCCGUCUGGUAGCGUCCCUCGUAGGACCAGCCGUCGAGGACGCGGAAGAGGUUGUUUCCCCCUGAACAAGUGGGCGUCUGCAGCCACCUCCUGGACCUGCUCGACAGCUGCGACGACGUCCACGGGGAGCAGCGGCCGUGGCAGUUGGCCCCCUCGCUACCGUAGCGCCGGCCGUACCACCAGUUGCUGACCCGCCGGAAGACGCCAAGGCUGUGGUGCCGGUGGCUCGAGAGUCACCACCUCUCGCAGAAGUCCGACUCCCUGCGGGCCGGCCCCCGUAACCCGCGGCUGCAGUCCUUUAGGAACCAACUUUCGACGAAAGAAGUCCCCUUAAAACGGAAGGGAACGACAUAGACACAAACAGUACUUUAUAAGAGUUGAUCAUGAGGGAGGCAUUUGUUUGUUCAUUACAUUUGCGA